AUGGAGGCCGUGGUGAGCGCCUCCCACGGCGCCGUGCAGAUCCUGUUGAGGAAGCUCGGCAACAUCCUCGCCACCAAAUACACGCUUCUCCGCGGCAUUCGUGGGGAGAUCCAGGAGCUCAAGGAUGUGCUCGAGAGCAUGACUGCGUGCCUCCGCGACCUCGCAGACGAUGAUGAUCACAACGAACAAACUAGGACUUGGAUGAAACAAGUGAGGGAGGCCGCGUUUGAUGUGGAGGACUGUAUGGACAGGUUCUGCCAUCACCUCAGCGAGAAUCAUGGAGACCGUCAAGGACUCCUGGAAUACCUCCAUAGGAUGUUCAACAUGGUGCGAACAUUGAGGGUGCGGCACAAGAUGGCUACCGAUAUCCAGGGCCUCAAAUCUCGUGCCCAGAAAGUGAGUGAUCGGAGGCUCAGGUACACAUACACUCUAGGUGACUCUGCUGGACGGUCGGGCAGAGCGCUUGAUACUUACAGCCACCUCGACAACCUGGACCGCUGGCUGCCUGCAAUCCAUGAUGACGGGUCUGGGCUAGUCGGCUCGGCUCGCUCAGCCAACGAGCCGACUUCAGGCGGCUCGACUCGCUUCAGCUAUGGCUCGGCUCAUACCGAGCCGGCUCGAAAGCCAUUUGCCCCCAGAAGUACAGAACCUCUGUAUAUAGUCCAGUCUUGA
rnacentral:rRNA from 1 species